UACUGAAUAACGUAGAAGAAUACGCAAUCAUCAAUUCAAAGUAUGAGAUUACAUGUGAACAACAAUGUAUCCAUAUCUGUACCCUGCAAAUUAAAAAACUAUUUACUCAAAACAUUUUCCGUACUAUUCAGAAUAUUAGCGUAACUCAUCAUUAGCUGCUGUGCGGUUGUUUUAACAUGGAACUAUGGAAGCAUUGUGUAAAUUAGCUGUUGAGUUUUACGCCUUCAGCCUGCCACUGAUUAAUCAUUGAGAAAAUUAUUCUUUCCUCACCGCAUAGACAGGUUGGGAUGUGACAUGUUCAGUUUGCAAUUUCCUCUGUAUCAUCUUUCAGGAGCCCUGUCUUCUUCCCUGUUCUUGUAGAGUGUGACCUUACCUUAAUGAGUCACAUAUCUCACAUCAUAUCCAGUAAAUUAUUAUCCUAUAGAUUGUUCUGUGGUUUAUCCAAAUAAAUACAUUCUGUCUUGGAUUACAUUUUUCAGUCGGACUUAUCUUGUUUAUUUAAGUACUUGUGUGUAUUAGAAUUGAAUUUUCAGUGAUUCUGUAAUAUACUACUCAGCUGUGUGGUAUUCGGUGAUUUAAGCAACUGCUUUGUUAUAUUUCAUUAAAAUUACUAUCAAAGCAAGUAUUUCCUGUACUGAUGUAAC